AAUUAAAUAGGUGAUGACGUUCACCAAUAAUAAAUGGGCAAAUUCUAAUGACGUCUACUAUUAC
rnacentral:ncRNA from 1 species